AAGUUUUGUAAAGAGCUUGGUUGUCACAUUGCUGUUAUGUUACAGGUCCUGGCAGAGCUUCAGUGCUUGUUGUCCUAGUAUUAACUGAAGGUAAAAUGAAAUAUACAGAUCUAUGUACUACAGUUCAUAAGACAAAAGUGGUGUGGAGCUUUUAACAGCAAGCAACUUUUGUAUUUGGAGAAAAAUCAUUCUAAAACGUGGCUGUGCUUCAAAUAUUCCAAAGGCCAUAGAAAUAACUGUUAUAGUCAAUAA
rnacentral:lncRNA from 1 species